AAGUCGAGCGGCAGGGUUCAGCAAUGGAUCUGAGAGCGGCGGACUGGUGAGUAACGCGUGGGUGACCUGCCCUGAGGAUGGGGAUAGCCAUUAGAAAUAGUGGGUAAUACCGAAUAUGGUUGCGGGACUGUGGUUCUGCAAAGAAAGGGGCUCCGGCUCCGCCUUGGGAUGGGCCCGCGUCCCAUUAGGUAGUUGGUGCGGUAAAGGCGUACCAAGCCUGAGAUGGGUAGCCGGCCUGAGAGGGUGAACGGCCACACUGGGACUGAGAUACGGCCCAGACUCCUACGGGAGGCAGCAGCUAAGAAUAUUCCGCAAUGGACGAAAGUCUGACGGAGCGACGCCGCGUGGAUGAGGAAGGCCGAAAGGUUGUAAAAUCCUUUUAUUGCUGAAGAAUAAGCGGGGGAGGGAAUGCCCUUGUGAUGACGUUAGGCAAUGAAUAAGCCCCGGCUAAUUACGUGCCAGCAGCCGCGGUAACACGUAAGGGGCGAGCGUUGUUCGGAAUUAUUGGGCGUAAAGGGCGCGUAGGCGGUUAUGUAAGCCUGGCGUGAAAUUCUCAAGCUUAACUUGGGGACUGCGUUGGGAACUGUGUAACUAGAGUCAUGGAGGGGGAGUUGGAAUUCCUAGUGUAGGGGUGAAAUCUGUAGAUAUUAGGAAGAACACCGGUGCGAAGGCGAAC
rnacentral:rRNA from 1 species